rnacentral:rRNA from 1 species
AUGGUAGUGUCCAAAUUUGAUCUUGCUUCAGAGAUUCAGAUUAGGAAGAAGUUUAUUCCGAUUCCCAAAUAUGUCAAACAUGACAUCUUAGAUCUUCCUGUUGAUGGUGAGCCCAUUAUGUCCAAUGCUGAGGCUGGGCGUGAGUUUAUCUUGUCCCAUUUCAAUGUGACCAGCAUCCCACCGGUUUCUUUCUUCUGCAAUACACUCAAAUCUGAAGAAUUGCCUGAUGAAGACACUUUCAUCUGCUUCAUGUGUAUUGCCUUGUCCACUUUCUUGUGUCCAAAUUCAAGCCUUUCUCCUAGUCCCAAAUAUCCCCACAUUUUCAGAGAUUGUAGUUCUGUGAUGAACUAUGAUUUAUCUAGAUUGGUAUAUGAGAGUCUCCUUGGCAAUAUUAAGAAGUUUAAGGAUUCUAUGAAGGUUGCUUCUAUGAGAUCAAUGACAUUUGGCGGUUGUCACUACGCAUUCGCUGUCAGUCUUGAUUUUUACAGUGUAAAUUUAGGUAGAAUUACAGUGUAA